CGGCGCGAUCGGCUUGCAGGGCUUGUCACACGCUCGUCCGCAGUUGGCUCAAGCGGCUGCCUUACAAAUACAUUUAAAGCGUCUUCUCCCACAGGAAGCGAAUUUUUUGUUACCGGUAGCGAAGUGCUCAACUUCACCAGCCUGGAGAAGAAACCCAGCCAGGACAGCGUAGCGAACCUCUUACUGUAACUGCUGCGCUUGCGAUGAAUGUUAGGUUAAAAAAAYGCUGGAAUCCUUUCUAACGUAUUGAAAAAUGUGAAAGACCAGCAGAUUUCUGUGAAGCAGGGUCCAUAAAAAAUCCUUCGCACAAAACUGUCCUUUAUUCCCUGGAUGGUAUGAAGUUGGCGUACCCAGCUCUACACUUUUCAUUUUUGCUCCUUGGGAACAGCAUUCUCCAGACAAGGCUGCCUGGUCAGUACUGCUGGCACACUUUCACCCAUUUGGAGAGCCCCCAUUUUACACUUCCGCUCUCCUUGUCUGACUCGAGCAAAAGGACAAGCCCCUGAAAGUCUUACCUAUUUAAAGCAAUUAGGCCCCCCUUUAAAAUUAAAAAAAAAAAAAAUUCACGUCCUCCGUUUCCUCCGAGAUAACAAGUUAAGGCAAAGGAAGAAGAAAAAAGAGAAAACGAAGGGAAAACAAAAAAAAGCAAAUGACCCCGACGUGAUUCGAACACGCAGCCUUCUGAUCUGGAGUCAGACGCGCUACCGUUGCGCCACGAGGUCCUGCUGGGCAGGGGCGCGCAGAGCCUUAGAACGCGCCCAUCACAGACCGCCAGCGGGACACGGGCCGGGCGGGCCUCGGGGGCCGGCGAAGACCCUUUCUCACCCACCUGUGGCGACCUCACAGGUAACAACCGCAGGGCCUCUGCGGCCCCUCUCCUCCGCCACUGCUUCCGUUCCCGCCGCAGCAAAUUUGAAACGUACAAGAGGACUCUGCAGAGCCAAAGCCAAGGAUCUGAAGAGACUCUAA
rnacentral:tRNA from 1 species